GGGUUGUGAGGUUAAGCGACUAAGCGUACACGGUGGAUGCCCUGGCAGUCAGAGGCGAUGAAGGGCGUACUAAUCUGCGAUAAGCGCCGGUAAGGUGAUAUGAACCGUUAUAACCGGCGAUACCCGAAUGGGGAAACCCAGUGUGAUUCGUCACACUAUCAUUAACUGAAUCCAUAGGUUAAUGAGGCGAACCGGGGGAACUGAAACAUCUAAGUACCCCGAGGAAAAGAAAUCAACCGAGAUUCCCCCAGUAGCGGCGAGCGAACGGGGAGGAGCCCAGAGCCUGAAUCAGCAUGUGUGUUAGUGGAAGCGUCUGGAAAGGCGCGCGAUACAGGGUGACAGCCCCGUACACAAAAGCGCAUGUGCUGUGAGCUCGAUGAGUAGGGCGGGACACGUGGUAUCCUGUCUGAAUAUGGGGGGACCAUCCUCCAAGGCUAAAUACUCCUGACUGACCGAUAGUGAACCAGUACCGUGAGGGAAAGGCGAAAAGAACCCCGGCGAGGGGAGUGAAAAAGAACCUGAAACCGUGUACGUACAAGCAGUGGGAGNNNNNNNNNNNNNNNNNNNNNGCGUACCUUUUGUAUAAUGGGUCAGCGACUUAUAUUCUGUAGCAAGGUUAACCGAAUAGGGGAGCCGGAGGGAAACCGAGUCUUAAUUGGGCGUUAAGUUGCAGGGUAUAGACCCGAAACCCGGUGAUCUAGCCAUGGGCAGGUUGAAGGUUGGGUAACACUAACUGGAGGACCGAACCGACUAAUGUUGAAAAAUUAGCGGAUGACCUGUGGCUGGGGGUGAAAGGCCAAUCAAACCGGGAGAUAGCUGGUUCUCCCCGAAAGCUAUUUAGGUAGCGCCUCGUGAAUUCAUCUCCGGGGGUAGAGCACUGUUUCGGCUAGGGGGCCAUCCCGGCUUACCAACCCGAUGCAAACUGCGAAUACCGGAGAAUGUUAUCACGGGAGACACACGGCGGGUGCUAACGUCCGUCGUGAAGAGGGAAACAACCCAGACCGCCAGCUAAGGUCCCAAAGUCAUGGUUAAGUGGGAAACGAUGUGGGAAGGCCCAGACAGCCAGGAUGUUGGCUUAGAAGCAGCCAUCAUUUAAAGAAAGCGUAAUAGCUCACUGGUCGAGUCGGCCUGCGCGGAAGAUGUAACGGGGCUAAACCAUGCACCGAAGCUGCGGCAGCGACACUGUGUGUUGUUGGGUAGGGGAGCGUUCUGUAAGCCUGCGAAGGUGGCCUGUGAGGGUUGCUGGAGGUAUCAGAAGUGCGAAUGCUGACAUAAGUAACGAUAAAGCGGGUGAAAAGCCCGCUCGCCGGAAGACCAAGGGUUCCUGUCCAACGUUAAUCGGGGCAGGGUGAGUCGACCCCUAAGGCGAGGCCGAAAGGCGUAGUCGAUGGGAAACGGGUUAAUAUUCCCGUACUUGGUGUUACUGCGAAGGGGGGACGGAGAAGGCUAUGUUGGCCGGGCGACGGUUGUCCCGGUUUAAGCGUGUAGGUGUGUGUUCCAGGUAAAUCCGGUUCACUUUAACACUGAGGCGUGACGACGAGGCACUACGGUGCUGAAGCAACAAAUGCCCUGCUUCCAGGAAAAGCCUCUAAGCAUCAGGUAACAUCAAAUCGUACCCCAAACCGACACAGGUGGUCAGGUAGAGAAUACCAAGGCGCUUGAGAGAACUCGGGUGAAGGAACUAGGCAAAAUGGUGCCGUAACUUCGGGAGAAGGCACGCUGACACGUAGGUGAAGUGAUUUACUCAUGGAGCUGAAGUCAGUCGAAGAUACCAGCUGGCUGCAACUGUUUAUUAAAAACACAGCACUGUGCAAACACGAAAGUGGACGUAUACGGUGUGACGCCUGCCCGGUGCCGGAAGGUUAAUUGAUGGGGUCAGCGCAAGCGAAGCUCCUGAUCGAAGCCCCGGUAAACGGCGGCCGUAACUAUAACGGUCCUAAGGUAGCGAAAUUCCUUGUCGGGUAAGUUCCGACCUGCACGAAUGGCGUAAUGAUGGCCAGGCUGUCUCCACCCGAGACUCAGUGAAAUUGAACUCGCUGUGAAGAUGCAGUGUACCCGCGGCAAGACGGAAAGACCCCGUGAACCUUUACUAUAGCUUGACACUGAACAUUGAGCCUUGAUGUGUAGGAUAGGUGGGAGGCUUUGAAGUGUGGACGCCAGUCUGCAUGGAGCCGACCUUGAAAUACCACCCUUUAAUGUUUGAUGUUCUAACGUGGACCCGUUACCCGGGUUGCGGACAGUGUCUGGUGGGUAGUUUGACUGGGGCGGUCUCCUCCUAAAGAGUAACGGAGGAGCACGAAGGUUGGCUAAUCCUGGUCGGACAUCAGGAGGUUAGUGCAAUGGCAUAAGCCAGCUUGACUGCGAGCGUGACGGCGCGAGCAGGUGCGAAAGCAGGUCAUAGUGAUCCGGUGGUUCUGAAUGGAAGGGCCAUCGCUCAACGGAUAAAAGGUACUCCGGGGAUAACAGGCUGAUACCGCCCAAGAGUUCAUAUCGACGGCGGUGUUUGGCACCUCGAUGUCGGCUCAUCACAUCCUGGGGCUGAAGUAGGUCCCAAGGGUAUGGCUGUUCGCCAUUUAAAGUGGUACGCGAGCUGGGUUUAGAACGUCGUGAGACAGUUCGGUCCCUAUCUGCCGUGGGCGCUGGAGAACUGAGGGGGGCUGCUCCUAGUACGAGAGGACCGGAGUGGACGCAUCACUGGUGUUCGGGUUGUCAUGCCAAUGGCACUGCCCGGUAGCUAAAUGCGGAAGAGAUAAGUGCUGAAAGCAUCUAAGCACGAAACUUGCCCCGAGAUGAGUUCUCCCUGAGACUUAAAGUCUCCUGAAGGAACGUUGAAGACGACGACGUUGAUAGGCCGGGUGUGUAAGCGCAGCGAUGCGUUGAGCUAACCGGUACUAAUGAACCGUGAGGCUUAACCUUACAACGCCGAAG
rnacentral:rRNA from 1 species